UAAUUGAGGCUGGCUGAUUGGG
rnacentral:miRNA from 1 species